AUUGAACGCUGGCGGCAUGCUUUACACCUGCAAGUCGAACGGUAACAGGCCGCAAGGUGCUGACGAGUGGCGAACGGGUGAGUAAUGCAUCGGAACGUGCCCAGUCGUGGGGGAUAACGCAGCGAAAGCUGCGCUAAUACCGCAUACGAUCUAUGGAUGAAAGCGGGGGACCGUAAGGCCUCGCGCGAUUGGAGCGGCCGAUGUCAGAUUAGGUAGUUGGUGGGGUAAAGGCUCACCAAGCCGACGAUCUGUAGCUGGUCUGAGAGGACGACCAGCCACACUGGGACUGUGACCCGGCCCAGACUCCUACGGGAGGCAGCAGUGGGGAAUUUUGGACAGUGGGCGCAAGCCUGAUCCAGCAAUGCCGCGUGCAGGAUGAAGGCCUUCGGGUUGUAAACUGCUUUUGUACGGAACGAAAAGCCCCGGGUUAAUACCCUGGGGUCAUGACGGUACCGUAAGAAUAAGCACCGGCUAACUACGUGCCAGCCGCCGCGGUAACAC
rnacentral:rRNA from 1 species